rnacentral:rRNA from 1 species
GACGAACACUGGCGGCGUGCCUAAUACAUGCAAGUUGAGCGCUGAAGGUUGGUACUUGUACCAACUGGAUGAGCAGCGAACGGGUGAGUAACGCGUGGGGAAUCUGCCUUUGAGCGGGGGACAACAUUUGGAAACGAAUGCUAAUACCGCAUAAAAACUUUAAACACAAGUUUUAAGUUUGAAAGAUGCAAUUACAUCACUCAAAGAUGAUCCCGCGUUGUAUUAGCUAGUUGGUGAGGUAAAGGCUCACCAAGGCGAUGAUACAUAGCCGACCUGAGAGGGUGAUCGGCCACAUUGGGACUGAGACACGGCCCAAACGCCUACGGGAGGCAGCAGUAGGGAAUCUUCGGCAAUGGACGAAAGUCUGACCGAGCAACGCCGCGUGAGUGAAGAAGGUUUUCGGAUCGUAAAACUCGGUUGGUAGAGAAGAACGUUGGUGAGAGUGGAAAGCUCAUCAAGUGACGGUAACUACCCAGAAAGGGACGGCUAACUACGUG